GUAUAUCCUAUUUUCUCUGUCUCUACACACACACACACACACUCCCUCUCUCCCUCUCUCUCUCUCUCACUCUCUCUCUCUGUGGUGUCGCAUCCGAAGAAAGUAAACCUUAAACUUCCUUCCAUGCUCCACACACACACACACUCCCUCUCUCCCUCUCUCUCUCUCACUCUCUCUCUCUGUGGUGUCGCAUCCGAACAAAGUAAACCUUAAACUUCCUUCCAUGCUAUAUAUGUUUAUUCAUUUCUGAUUAUAGGAGAGGCAAUUUAUUUGGGCAUUUGCAAUUGGUGUAGUUGUGUUCACAAUUUCAAGACGUACGGCUAAAGGAUGAAAAGUAACUGGACAACUCUAAUGGCUUGUUUAAUUUGCUGUAAUUAAAAUGAGAUGAAUUGACUUAAUGAGAAAUUGAAAUGAUGAGGAAUUAGAAUGACGAAGAAUUUGAGUUCAUAUAAAUUGUUUACUAGUUCACUUGAUUUGAAAUGAAAAUGAAUAUAAUUACUAAAAUGUUCUUGUUUUUUUUUCUUGUUUUAUUUCAUCCUAUAUUUAUAUUUAAUAACAUUUUAAUUAGUUUUUUAUUUGUUUAUUUCAUGCCCUUAUACCAAAAAAAAUAAAUUUGUAUACAAAUUUAUUGAAUUACCAAUAUUAAAUAUUAAUUACACUUUAAUAAUGGCCUUUUUCAAACACAUUUGAGUAGAACGCUCCUCUCUUCUCUGCAAGUCUGCGUACAUUUUCUUCUCUGGCCCUCACCUCCAUCUUCCCCACACAUACUACCCCAUAGACACGAUCUCUUCUAUGGUAGAAGAGGUGGAAAGUAUUUCAUGGAUUUUUGGGUUUUUUGAGUGAUUGUUUCCUCGGAUUUGUGGGUUUGGGUCUGAAUUUGAAUUGUUUAUUUUCUAGGUUGGGUGAUUAAUUUUUGAAUCCGGUUUGUGGGAGAUGUGGCUGGGGUUCUUGAGUUGGUGGGUUGGGAAGUGAAGCAUGGCUCCACAUGAAGGUGGAAAGUGAGGCAGAGACGCAUGAAGGCAGGGUGCGCAAGGAGCGUUGGGCUUGUUGGGUUGAGUGGCAGACUAGAAAUUUCUGAAAUAACAGAAGGGCACAAUAGGUAGAAAAAUUGCAAUCUUGAGUCCCCUCACUCUUUCAUCCAUUUAAGGAGUCAAAUUCCUCCAAUUUGGGAUCACUUAGUACUACGGUAUAGUGGUAUUCUUCUUUAUUUAUAAAUAAGAGGUCUUAGGUUCAAUUCUUGCCAAAAACGAAUUUGAACCACUUUAUUGGAGAGUUGGAUUCCUCCAAUUUGGGGAGUUGGACUCCUUAUUUUGUGUGGGGCCCAUCCCUAUUUUGAUUCUUCUAAAGUUAGUAAAUACUUCACUACUCCGCAAUUAAAAUUCAAUUUCUUAUUUUAAUUCUGAUUACGGGUGUAUAAAAAGUUAUAAUUUUUAUUUGGGGUAUUUGAAAUCUGUUCAUUUUUUGUUUUAAUUCAAAGAUCAUCAUUAUCAAAACUCAUUCAAAUUAGAAAUCAUUUAUUCAUUUACGUUUUUGUUAUCAUUGCACAUAACUCAAAAGCCACCGGCGCUAGUGCUGGAAAAUGUAUUUGGCCAGCCACCGUCAAUGGUUGUUUAGUGUAAUCAUUGGACCCUGAUGAUAUAUAGGGGACUACAUCUAAUAAAAACUACUCUUAUUUGUUUCUUAUGAUUUUAUUUGUUUAGCAUUUGUGUUUUCUUGCUUAGAGGUUUAUAUAUACUUGAAUGCGAAAUAUACAUGUUAUAACACUUCUGCCCGACACUUUCAAUUAUAUAUGGUGGCGUUUUAACAGGUGGGGUUGCCCUCCAAGCAAGUUUCCAUGGACAUACAGUGACAAAGAGACUUGCUAUCUGCUACAAGGCAAAGUGAAGGUUACCCCUGAUGGAUCCAAUGAGUCGG
rnacentral:lncRNA from 1 species